rnacentral:rRNA from 1 species
AUUGAACGCUGGCGGCAUGCUUUACACAUGCAAGUCGAACGGCAGCGGGGUAGUGCUUGCACUACUGCCGGCGAGUGGCGAACGGGUGAGUAAUAUAUCGGAACGUACCGAGUAAUGGGGGAUAACCAAUCGAAAGAUUGGCUAAUACCGCAUACGUCCUGAGGGAGAAAGCGGGGGAUCGCAAGACCUCGCGUUAUUCGAGCGGCCGAUAACUGAUUAGCUAGUUGGUGGGGUAAAGGCCUACCAAGGCGACGAUCAGUAGCGGGUCUGAGAGGACGAUCCGCCACACUGGGACUGAGACACGGCCCAGACUCCUACGGGAGGCAGCAGUGGGGAAUUUUGGACAAUGGGGGCAACCCUGAUCCAGCCAUGCCGCGUGUAUGAAGAAGGCCUUCGGGCUGUAAAGUACUUUUGUUAGGGAAGAAAAGGGAAGUGCUAAUACCACUUUUUGCUGACGGUACCUAAAGAAUAAGCACCGGCUAACUACGUG